GAUGAAGAACGUAGCGAAAUGCGAUACGUAGUGUGAAUUGCAGAAUUCAGUGAAUCAUCGAAUCUUUGAACGCACAUUGCACCUCUCGGUAUUCCGGGAGGUAUGCCUGUUCGAGCGUCAUUUGUACCCUCAAGCUCUGCUUGGUGUUGGGUGUUUGUUCCGCCUCUGUGUGUGAACUCGCCUCAAAACAAUUGGCAGCCGGCGUACUUGUUUCGGAGCGCAGCACAUUUUGCGAUCCAGAUCAACGUACAGCGGCAUCCAAGAAGCCUUAUUUAACGCUCUUGACCUCGGAUCAGGUAGGGAUACCCGCUGAAUUUAAGCAUAUCAAUAAGCGGAGGA
rnacentral:misc_RNA from 1 species